rnacentral:lncRNA from 1 species
CCCCAGGCCAGAGAGUGGUAUCUGUCUUUCCACAAGUUUCAAUUUCCUCGGACUGUGAUUCCUGGGUUAAACUUAGUAGCAGCCUGGAGCAGAGGAAAAGGAUGGGAGAAUGUGUUGUUAAACCUCAGAAAAAUCCUGGACUUGGCAUCAUAAUUAAAAUUCCAUUUCCUAACACUCUCUAGCUAAGUGCCUUUAGGGAUCUGAAUGAUGCAGUGUCGCAAUCCCAUUUUAUAAAUGAGGCAACCAAAACUCGAACAGGUAAGUGUGUGCCUGUUACACAGCUCACAGGUACCAGAGCAAAACUGGAUCCCAAGUGUCCUGUUUCAACUGCUUCAAAUAUACCAGGCACAAAUACACCUCAAAUAUAAACUGCCUCUCAAAUAUACCAGGCUACCUUAUAAUAAGUGCGCAAUAAACACUUCUGGAAAGGGAUUGAAUAUUUUCAUGGAAAUAACUUCUCCCUGUGGCUUGAGGUAAGGUUUCUUUGGGACGCUGAAUUUAAUGUCUCAGAGGCUUGAAUCACAUCCAAGCCAGCAGUUCCCUGUUUCUGAAUUUGUCUUGCUUAUUCUGCAGGACCAUAUUGCGACUGAAACAAGGCAUAACAGGUCUUUGACUGGCUAUCCUGUGGAUGUGGACUCAGGCUAGCCUGCGCAAAGUGGUGAGCAAGGUGGUUGGGAAAAUCAAAGGAGGGGGUAAGGUAGUGGCAGGUAACUAUCGAUAAUCUGCUCUUCUUCACAGAAAGACAGGCAAUUAGAUUGAAAAAUACCUGUGAUUCAAAGAAGUCACAAGUCACAGAGACAAACUUUUCCCAGUGUGUUCGAGUCAGAGAACCUUUGCAAAGACCAACAGGCUAAAAGAGAAAAUACAAUGUCAUGACACAGCUAGAAUAUGUUUCCAAGCCUCCCCAACACGUGUGACUGUGUAUAAUUGAGUUCUAACCACAGGAAGCUUGAUGCAGAUGAGCAGGUAACCAUGGAAGUCGUGAGCUGAGGCUGCAGAGUCUAGAGCCAGAGUGUGGAAUAAACUUGGGUCUCAAAUCACCCCUGGAGCAAAGCACCCAUCUAAUCAGGAACUUCUACUUUCAACUUUACAUGCGUGAGAAAUGAACUUCUAUCAUGUUAGAGAAAUCCUUACACGGCGCCCUUGAGAGCUUUCAUACUGCAAGUCAUCCAUUUUCCUCCCCUCAAACCUGGCAUCGGAGUUUAUUGAAACAAAGCAAAAUAAAACAAAUAGACA